GACGAACGCUGGCGGCGUGCUUAACACAUGCAAGUCGAACGAUGAAGCCGGAGCUUGCUCUGGUGAAUUAGUGGCGAACGGGUGAGUAACACGUGAGUAACCUGCCCUUGACUCUGGGAUAACUGCGGGAAACUGUAGCUAAUACCGGAUACGACCCUCGGAGGCAUCUCCUGGGGGUGGAAAGAAUUUCGGUCAAGGAUGGACUCGCGGCCUAUCAGCUAGUUGGUGAGGUAAAGGCUCACCAAGGCGACGACGGGUAGCCGGCCUGAGAGGGCGACCGGCCACACUGGGACUGAGACACGGCCCAGAUUCCUACGGGAGGCAGCAGUGGGGAAUAUUGCGCAAUGGGCGAAAGCCUGACGCAGCAACGCCGCGUGCGGGAUGAAGGCCUUCGGGUUGUAAACCGCUUUCAGCAGGGAAGAAGCGAAAGUGACGGUACCUGCAGAAGAAGCACCGGCUAACUACGUGCCAGCCGCCGCAGUAA
rnacentral:rRNA from 1 species